GGGCGCAUGGUUUAGUGGUAUAACACUCCCUUAGCAGCACUACGCAAUUAACGUUCUGAUCCCAAGAACCGUGAUGGGAGAGGUCUAGGGUUCGAUUCCCUAUGUGUCCA